UGUUAUUAACUAUGAUUCGUUUUUGUCUUUAUACUAGAACAGUUUGAAUUUAAACCACAAACAGUAAAACAUUAAGGUUAUACGUGGUACACAGCGGUAAACAUGAGGUUAAAAAUACGCGAAGUAACAUUCAAACCGGGCUGUUAAAAGAAUCAAUUCGAUGUUUAAAUUUUUAAAAACAAAACUUUAAAGAAGCCAAGAUGAGACGUUAUUUGCUUAAAACAAACAAAACAACAGUAACUCGUGUGUUUGAAAUGUUAGCAGCUAGCAAGUGUCUCUCUGCUAUUUUAAAUGGUACUGACGAUCUUUUGUUGUUUUAAAAGCUCAUUCAGUUCUGGUAGAUGCUGCUUAUUUUUCAAGACUGUUUUAAUAGCUUUAUAUUGAUUUGUAACAAAGCCAGCUUCACUUUAAGAGAACCUAGAUGCUAAUUGUAAAGAAGCUUGGAGUCAUAAUAUAUUUAAACGUUAUAUGUUUGCUGUUCUUCAUCUUUUUAAAUAUGAAGUCUAUACAUGUUUGUGUUUACAGAGGUCAUGUACACUGUGGUCAACUUUGUGGACGAUGAAGAGGUUUCUGGGUAAAGCUGAUAGAAAUAUAAUGAAGUAACAGUGAAAGCUAAAACAUCAGACUGAUCCAGACACUGAAGAAAUUGAUGUCACUGCAAUCUGGCCAAAAUGAUACAACUAUAUUGAAGUAGCCUACUGUAAUGAAGCUGCAGAACAACACAGAGACUCUGAGGACAUCAACACAGAAAAUUAAGGCUCCAAAGAGAUGUCUGUCCAGAUGAGGGUGCAUCAACGUUACCUUUGCUGACAAGUAUAUGCUUUACAAUGUAAAACCUAACAGUUAACUUAACUCAAACCAUUUAAGGAAAUCGGUUGCCUUAACCCAUUAAGUUUAAAAAAAAAACAUACAUUUGAGUACUGUGAACUUAAGUCUUGUGCAAUAAUGCACUUAUAUUUAGUUAGUGUGAACUUAAAUAUAAGUGCAUAACUGCAUGUGACUCAAUUUGUUUAAGUUCACAGUACUCAAAUCUAUGUGUUUUAAAACUUAAAUGGUUUAAUGCAACCGGUUUUCUUAAAUGGUUUGAGUUUAGUUAACUUUUAGGUUUUACAGUGAGAAAUUCUUGAAUAAUUCCAAGACAGA